GCCCGACCGCAGUCGCGCUUGGGCCGCCGCGGGCCCGCACCGAGGCGCUCAGCGCGGAGCCAGCGGUAGCGAGAGCUGACCGCCGGAGACGGGGAUGGCGGAGCGGCGGCGAGCAUGGAACACGGAGGACGACCUGCCGGUGUACCUGGCGCGGCCAGGCAGCGCGGCGCAGACCCCGCGCCAGAAGUACGGCGGCAUGUUCGCCGCCGUGGAGGGAGCCUACGAGAACAAGACCAUCGACUUCGACGCCUACAGCGUGGGCCGCCGCGGCUCCGCGCGCACACCACGCAGCGCUGGCCGGCCCGACGCCGUGGGCCUGCCGUGCCCUGGCGGCAGUGAGGACACGGCCAGCGAUGUGAGCGAGCCCUCGGGCUCUGCUGUCAGCUCGCCAGGCGAUCGCGAUGACAGACCGCCGGCGUUGCGCAUCCGAUGUCCUGCGCCCCGCGACCUACCACUCGGCCGGGACAAUGGCCA
rnacentral:lncRNA from 1 species